GACGAACGCUGGCGGCGUGCUUAACACAUGCAAGUGGAGCGACGAACCGGGGCUUGCCCCGGGGCAGAGCCGCGAACGGGUGAGUAACACGUGGGUUACCUGCCCUGAUGACCGGGACAACCCGUCGAAAGACGGGCUAAUACCGGAUGUGCCCGCAAGGGGAAAGGAGGCGUAAGCUUCCGCAUCGGGAUGGGCCCGCGGAGCAUUAGCUUGUUGGUGAGGUAAUAGCUCACCAAGGCUUCGAUGCUUAGCUGGUCUGAGAGGACGAUCAGCCACACUGGGACUGAGACACGGCCCAGACUCCUACGGGAGGCAGCAGUGGGGAAUCUUGCGCAAUGCACGAAAGUGUGACGCAGCAACGCCGCGUGCGGGAAGACGGCCU
rnacentral:rRNA from 1 species